rnacentral:rRNA from 1 species
GACGAACGCUGGCGGCGUGCUUAACACAUGCAAGUCGAACGGGCCUGCCUGGCUUUGGUUGGGUGGGUGAGUGGCGAACGGGUGAGUAACACGUGAGUAACCUGCCCUCUUCUCUUGGAUAACUGCUUGAAAGGGCGGCUAAUACGGGAUGUUCUGGCUGCCUCGCAUGGGGUGGUCUGGAAAGAUUCGGCCUGGUUUUGGUUGUUUUGGUGGGGGAUGGGCUCGCGGCUUAUCAGCUUGUUGGUGGGGUGAUGGCCUACCAAGGCGGUGACGGGUAGCCGGCCUGAGAGGGUGGACGGUCACACUGGGACUGAGACACGGCCCAGACUCCUGCGGGAGGCAGCAGUGGGGGAUUUUGCACAAUGGGCGCAAGCCUGAUGCAGCGACGCCGCGUGAGGGAUGGAGGCCUUCGGGUUGUGAACCUCUGUCGCCGGUGAUGUAGGCUCUGCUUUGUGGGUGGGGUUGAC